rnacentral:rRNA from 1 species
UCUGGUAACGAUAGCGAAGAGGUCACACCCGUUCCCAUUCCGAACACGGAAGUUAAGCUCUUCAGCGCCGAUGGUAGUUGGGGGUUUCCCCCUGUGAGAGUAGGACGUCGCCAGGC